rnacentral:rRNA from 1 species
AAAGGAAUUGACGGGGGCCCGCACAAGCAGUGGAGUAUGUGGUUUAAUUCGACGCAACGCGAAGAACCUUACCAGGGCUUGACAUCCUCUGACGACUGCAGAGAUGCAGUUUUCCCUUCGGGGACAGAGAGACAGGUGGUGCAUGGUUGUCGUCAGCUCGUGUCGUGAGAUGUUGGGUUAAGUCCCGCAACGAGCGCAACCCCUGUUAUCAGUUGCCAUCAGGUAAAGCUGGGCACUCUGGUGAGACUGCCGUUGACAAAACGGAGGAAGGUGGGGACGACGUCAAAUCAUCAUGCCCCUUAUGUCCUGGGCUACACACGUACUACAAUGGCAACAACAGAGGGCAGCCAUGUCGCGAGGCAGAGCGAAUCCCAAAAUGUUGUCUCAGUUCAGAUUGCAGGCUGCAACUCGCCUGCAUGAAGUCGGAAUUGCUAGUAAUGGCAGGUCAGCAUACUGCCGUGAAUACGUUCCCGGGCCUUGCACACACCGCCCGU